rnacentral:rRNA from 1 species
AUGGUCUUAGCUUGCUAAGGCCGAUGGCGACCGGCGCACGGGUGAGUAACGCGUAUCCAACCUGCCUUACACUCUUGGACAGCCUUCUGAAAGGAAGAUUAAUACAAGAUGGCAUCAUGAGUCCGCAUGUUCACAUGAUUAAAGGUAUUCCGGUAGACGAUGGGGAUGCGUUCCAUUAGGUAGUAGGCGGGGUAACGGCCCACCUAGCCGACGAUGGAUAGGGGUUCUGAGAGGAAGGUCCCCCACAUUGGAACUGAGACACGGUCCAAACUCC